rnacentral:rRNA from 1 species
AAAUUUAAUUAAUUUAAAAGUAAAGUUAGAUGAUAUUUAUUAUUUAAAAAAUUAAUAAUUUAAAGUAAUAAUUUAGUAAUUUUUUUUAAAAAAUUAAUAUAAAUUGAUAGCAAAAUAGUAUAGAAAUAGAAAUUUUAAUUUAAAAUAAAAAUAAUUUUUUUAAAAGUAAAUUUUAAUAAUUGUAACUUGUGUAUCAGAGGUUAUUUAAAUAUUUUAUUAAAAAAUUUAAUUCUCAAAAAUUUAAGAAAUAAUUAAUUAUUUUAAUAAUUGUAGCAACAAUUUUAAUUAUUAUUAAUUAGAAGUGACAUGUUAUACGAAUAAAUUUAUAUUUAGUUUAAAAAUAAAUAAAUUUAAUUUAGUAUGAGUAAUUAUUUUUUUUUAUAAAAAAAAAAUUAUUCAUAAAAAAAUUUUAGGGAUAAGCUUAAAUUUUUUUUAAAGUUGAAUUAGUCAAUAAAAUAUUAUAUAAUUAAAAUUUUUAAAUAUUUUAAAGUAAAUUUAAUUAUACUAUAAUUUUAAAAAAUUAAAUUUAAAAAAGUAUUUUUAUAAUUAUUUAAAUUAAUAAAAUUAAGUAAUAAUAAUAAUAUUAGUAUAUUAUAUAUUUAGUUAGUAAAUAAACAAAAAAUUUUAUUUUAAGAAUUCGACAAAUAAAAAUAUUUACUUGUUUAACAAAAACAUGUCUUUUUGAGAUUUAUUUAAAGUCUAAUCUGCUCACUGAAAGAUAAUUUUAAGAGCCGCAAUAAAAUUGUGCAAAGGUAGCAUAAUAAAUAGUUUUUUAAUUGAAAACUAGAAUGAAUGAUUGGAUAAAAUAUUUAUUUUUUUAAGUAAAUAAUUAAAAUUUAAUUUUUUAGUGAAAAAGCUAAAAUGUAUUAAAUAGACGAAAAGACCCUAUAAAUUUUAAUUUUUAUUUAAAUAAAAAUUAUUUGUUUAAAAAUUAUGUUGGGGGGAUAAAUAAAUUUAUAAAACUUUAUUAAAAUAAAUCAUUAAUUUAUGUUAUAAAAUAUCUUUAAUUUAAAAAUUAAAAUUAAAAUACUUUAGGGAUAACAGCGUAAUUUUUAUUUUAAGAUCUUAUUAAAAUAAAAGAUUGCGACCUCGAUGUUGGAUUAAAAUAAAAUUUAAAAGAAGCAAGUUAAAUUUAAGGUCUGUUCGACCAUAAUUUUUUACAUGAUCUGAGUUCAAACCGGUGUGAGCCAGGUUGGUUUCUAUCUUUUAAUUAUUAUAAAUAUUAUAGUACGAAAGGAUUUAUUAUUUAAAUUAAAAUUUAAAUAAAGAAUAAUAUUAAGUUAAA